rnacentral:rRNA from 1 species
GUGGGGAAUAUUGGGCAAUGGGCGAAAGCCUGACCCAGCAACGCCGCGUGAGGGAAGAAGGUUUUCGGAUCGUAAACCUCUGUCCUUGGGGACGAAAGAAAUGACGGUACCCAAGGAGGAAGCCCCGGCUAACUACGUGCCAGCAGCCGCGGUAAUACGUAGGGGGCGAGCGUUGUCCGGAAUGAUUGGGCGUAAAGGGCGCGUAGGCGGCCUGUUAAGUCCGGAGUGAAAUUCCUGCUUUCAAGGUAGGAAGUGCUUUGGAAACUGGCGGGCUGGAGUGCAGGAGAGGUUAGCGGAAUUCCCGGUGUAGCGGUGAAAUGCGUAGAGAUCGGGAGGAACACCAGUGGCGAAGGCGGCUAACUGGACUGUAACUGACGCUGAGGCGCGAAAGUGUGGGGAGCAAACAGGAUUAGAUACCCGAGUAGUCC